GACGAACGCUGGCGGCGUGCUUAACACAUGCAAGUCGAACGAAGUGGCGAACGGGUGAGUAACGCGUAAUCAACCUGCCCUUCAGAGGGGGACAACAGUGGGAAACGACUGCUAAUACCGCAUACUGAAUGAGGGGAUUGCGUCUGAGUAGCUAGUUGGAGGGGUAACGGCCCACCAAGGCGAUGAUCAGUAGGCGGUCCGAGAGGAUGAACGGCCACAAUGGGAAUGAGACAAGGCCCAGAAUCCUACGGGAGGCAGCAAUGGGGAAACUUCCGCCAUGGACGGAAGUCUGACGGAGCAACGCCGGGUGAGUGAUGACGGCCUUCGGGUUGUAAAGCUCUGUUAAUCGGGACGCGGUACCGGAAUAGAAAGCAACGGCUAACUACGUGCCAGCAGCCGCGGUAAUUC
rnacentral:rRNA from 1 species